rnacentral:rRNA from 1 species
GAUGAACGCUGGCGGCGUGCCUAAUACAUGCAAGUCGAGCGAACAGACGAUGAGCUUUCUCCCUUGACGUUAGCGGCUGACGGGUGAGUAACACGUGCAUAACCUACCUAUAUGACUUGGAUAAUUUCGUGAAACCGGUGCCAAUACCGCAUAAUAUAUUCUACCGCUUGGUUCAAUAGUUCUUCACGCUUUUCCCGAUUCUUUUAGCCGGUGUCGUGUCGGAUUAGCUAGUUGGUAAGGUAAAGCCAUACCAAGGCGACGAUGCGUAGCUGACCUGAGAGGAUGAUCAGCCAGACUGGAACUGAGAAACGGACCAGACUCCUACGGGAGGCAGCAGUGGGGAAUAUGGGACAAGGGGCGCAAGCCUGAUCGAGCCAGACAGCGUGGGUGAAGAAGGACUUCGGGUUGUAAAGCCCUGUUGUUGGGAAAGAAAAGAAGCAGGUUAAGAACCAGAUGUUCUGACGGUACCCAAAGAAUAAGCACCGGCUAACUUCGUG